GAUGAACGCUGGCGGCGUGCCUAAUACAUGCAAGUCGAGCGAACAGAUAAGGAGCUUGCUCCUUUGACGUUAGCGGCGGACGGGUGAGUAACACGUGGGUAACCUACCUAUAAGACUGGGAUAACUUCGGGAAACCGGAGCUAAUACCGGAUAAUAUUUCGAACCGCAUGGUUCGAUAGUGAAAGAUGGUUUUGCUAUCACUUAUAGAUGGACCCGCGCCGUAUUAGCUAGUUGGUAAGGUAACGGCUUACCAAGGCGACGAUACGUAGCCGACCUGAGAGGUGGAUCGGCAACACUGGAACGGAGACACGGUCCAGCCUCCUACGGGAGGCAGCGGUAGGGAAUCUUCGGAAAUGGGCGAAAGCCUGACGGAGCAACGCCGCGUGAGUGAUGAAGGUCUUCGGAUCGUAAAACUCUGUUAUUAGGGAAGAACAGACGUGUAAGUAACUGUGCACGUCUUGACGGUACCUAAUCAGAAAGCCACGGCUAACUACGUG
rnacentral:rRNA from 1 species